GCCCAUCAGCUACAGGUACCUCAGUCAGUAGAGCAUGAGACUCUUAAUCUUGGGGUUGUGAGUUUGAGCCCCAUGUUGGGCA
rnacentral:tRNA from 1 species